rnacentral:ncRNA from 1 species
CCACGGGAGCUCGAACCGAGCUGAGAGGGGACCACCCCCGACCGUAGAACCUGAUCCGGAUCAUACCGGCGUAGGAAGGCUCUU